rnacentral:rRNA from 1 species
CCUACGGGUGGCAGCAGUGGGGAAUAUUGCACAAUGGGGGAAACCCUGAUGCAGCGACGCCGCGUGAGUGAAGAAGUAUUUCGGUAUGUAAAGCUCUCUCAGCAGGGAAGAAGAAAGACGGUACCUGACUAAGAAGCCCCGGCUAACUACGUCCCUGCAGCCGCGGUAAUACGUAGGGGGCAAGCGUUAUCCGGAUUUACUGGGGGUAAAGGGAGCGUAGACGGCUGUGCAAGUCUGAAGUGAAAGCCCAGGGCUCAACCCUGGGACUGCAUUGGAAACUGGCAAACUGGAGUGUGUGAGAGGAUAGUGGAAUUCCAGGUGUAGGGGUGAAAUCCGGAGAUAUAUGGAGGAACAUCAGUGGCGAAGGCGACUAUCUGGCACAUAACUGACGCUGAGGAGCGAAAGCGUGGGUAGCAAACAGGAUUAGAUACCCCUGUAGUC